GCCCGCCGCGCAGGCGCCGUCCGAGGGCUCCGUUUGAAACAUGGCGCGGGCUGGCCCUCGGCUGGUGCUGAGCGAGGAGGCGGUUCGGGCGAAGAGCGGCUUAGGGCCUCACCGCGACCUGGCUGAGCUUCGGUCAUUGUCUAUUCCUGGAACUUACCAAGAGAAGAUCACCCACCUGGGACAUUCUCUGAUGAGUUUAACAGGUCUGAAAUCUUUGGAUCUCUCGCGCAACUCCUUGGUUAGUCUGGAGGGCAUUCAGUACCUGACUGCGUUGGAGAGUCUCAAUCUCUACUACAACUGCAUCUCCUCGUUGGCAGAAGUGUUUCGGCUCCACGCCUUAACCGAGCUCGUGGACGUGGACUUCCGGCUGAACCCCGUGGUGAAGGUUGAGCCUGACUACCGCCUUUUUGUUGUGCACCUGCUCCCCAAGCUCCAGCAGCUGGACGAUCGCCCCGUGAGAGAGAGCGAGCGGAAGGCUUCCCGACUGCAUUUUGCAUCAGAGGACUCACUCGACUCCAAAGAGAGCGUCCCAGCUUCUUUGAAAGAGGGCAGACCGCACCACCCCAGAGCCAAGUGCACCGAGGCCUUGGCCAAGCAGAGCCUGGUCAUGGAUGCGGAUGACGAGGCAGUCCUGAACCUCAUAGCAGAGUGCGAGUGGGACCUCGGCAGGCCUCCCGGGAGCACGAGCUUCAGCCAGAAGGGGCGUGAGGCCGACUCUCGUGGUUCCCAAGAAUCCAGACAUCUGUUGAGCCCGCAGUUGGUACAGUACCAGUGUGGGGACUCCGGGAAGCAGGGCCGUGAGACGAGGAGGAGCAGCUGCAGAGGGUGCUGUCUGGAGAAGACGCCUUGGAGCCAGCUCUGUGGAGAGCUUCCGCCACCCUAUGGAGCGGAGCCGGAGGCCUCCCGUGCCCCCGGGCCACACGCGUACUUCACCCCACACCCAGACUCCGUGGAUACCGAGGACUUGGCCUCUUCUCAGAAGUUGGAUUUGUCAGCAGAAAUGGUGCCUGGUCCCCUGCCAGCCCCCGGAAAGUGCAGGAAGCGAAGAAUGCCUGUUGGAAGAUUCCAGACGUUUUCGGACCAGGAGGGUUUGGGCUGCCUGGAGAGAACUCAUGGGUCCUCCGUGCCCGAGGAGAGCCUGAGCAGACAGGACAGCUCAGAAAGCAGGAACGGGAGGACCUUGUCUCAGCCUGAGGCCUCGGAGACUGAGGAGCAGAGGUCUCGGGGUGUGACCGACACCAGAGAGCCGUCUCCCGGGUCACACUCGGCUCUACCCGGGAAGAAGACGGCCCUGCAGGCGGCGCUCCUGGAGACGCUCUUGGACCUGGUGGACAGGAGCUGGGGCGGCUGCAGGUCCCUGCACAGCAACGAGGCAUUCCUUGCUCAGGCAAGACACAUCUUGUCAUCUGUUGAAGAAUUCACAGCAGCUCAGGACAGCUCUGCGAUGGUGGGUGAAGAUGUCGGCUCCCUGGCUCUGGAGAGUAAGUCCCUGCAAAGCCGCCUUGCUGAGCAGCAGCAGCAGCACGCCCGGGAGAUGAGCGAGGUGACGGCGGAGCUGCACUGCACACACAAGGAGCUGGUGAGCCCGCCCUGGCACUGUGUCUGUGUCCAUGUGACUGGGGGAAACAUGGCUCUGACUUCCGGGAAUGAGGGCAGCUCCUUGAUGCCACACUGUCCCAACCGCCAUCUCUGCAGCCCCAUGUCUCCACUCCCUGCCCGGGACCCGGCCACCCCCAGGAAUGCGGCCUGCCCUGUCUCACAACAGGCCUGGAGCACUUUGGAGACAGCAGUGGCACUGGCCACCUUCUCUCCCCGGGCCCAAGGGACCCUCCACCACUGGGCAGUGCCGGGUGCUGCAGGAGCCAGGCCUGGAUGUGACUUUGUCUUGCUGACCCAUCUCUCAGGGCCUCGAACUGGGGAAAACUGAGGCCACUCUCCUUUUAUGAAGGAGAUGACGGCCAGUGUCUCAUGGUGAGCUGGGGCUACAGGGCAAGUUACCCCAAAACCAGCAGCUGAAAACCUGCAUUUAUCACCUUGGAUUUCUGUGUGUUGGGCCUCAGGCUCAGCUCAGCCAGGCUCCCUCCUUCCGUCUCAGCCGUGGGCCGGGGCCGCCGUCUCAUCUGAGGCCUCAUGGGGGCUCCGUCUCAGCCGUGGGCUGGGGCCACCGUCUCAUCUGAGGCCUCACGGGACAGGAUCCUCCCAGGCUCCCUCCACGCUGCAAGGGCCUCCCCACGGGCUGCUGGCAUCCUUAGCACAGGGAGCUGGUGGUCAGAGAGCCACACCCAGGCAGAAGCCGCCCUCCGGGAGUCCUGGUGUGAGGGCAGAGCCACGUGAGGAUGUGCACACCCAGAGGGGCCUUGUCAGCAUCUGUAAAAUGGGAGUGAAGUCGGCCCGGGACGGCUUCGAAAACUGCCUCUGAACUUGUCUGACAAGUACAUACUGUCUGUUUCAUGGGAACCAACAUCUCAGAGAUCCCACACAACGCUUCCUCUUUAGAGAAGAAAAAACACAGCAAAACAACACAGGCAGCCUCUGUUUAAACGCACGUGGCCCCCCCACCCCGUCUGGAAGCCUCUGCACGUGGCCUUCAUCUGGAAGCCUCUGUAUUUAAACACAUGUGGGCCGCCUCCAUCUGGAAGCCUCUAUAUUUAAACACACGUGGGUCCCCAUCCCCCAUCCAGAAGCCUCUGCAUUUAAACACAUGUCCCCCCGUCCAGAAGUCUCUGCAUUUAAAUACACAUGGCCCCCCAUCCAGAAGUCUUUGUGUUUAAACACACAUGCCCCCGCCAUCCCCCAUCCAGAAGCCUCUGCAUUUAAGCACACGUGGUCCCCCGUCUAGAAACCUGUGCAUUUAAACACACGUGGUCCCCCGUCUAGAAGCCUCUGCUUUUAAACCAACGUGGCCCCUCCUCUGGAAGCCUCUAUAUUUAAACACACGUGGCCCCUCAUCUGGUGGAAGCCUCUGGAUUUAAGCACACAUGGCCCCUUCUCUGGAAGCCUCUAUAUUUAAACACGUGUGGCCCCCUGUCUGGAAGCCUUUAUACUGAAACACACAUGACCGGCUGUCUGGAAAGUGAACUGGGCGUCGUCACUGAUGAUGUCUUUUCUGUGGGACACAGUCAGGCACACCCCUUGCCCUUCUGAGCCUGGGACGAGACAGAGCUGACAGGCGGAGCCCAAAGGUGUGCCGAGCACCAGUGCCUCCAGGGGUGGGAGUCACAUGCAGCUGUGGCUGCUGUGGACGCCUGCUUUUUCGCCCUCUGCAGUUUGCCUAAUCCCUGCAGUUUGCAGGCAGCCCUGGGCCUCUGGACAGAGCAGCCCUGGUUCCCUGUCAGGGUGAGUGAUCAGGAAGAAUCUGGCAGCCCGAGCCCCGCGGGUAAGGAGCAGUCAGCACCGUCAGGAACCCCGCGGAGGGAGCAGCCGUGCAGGCUGGUGGGCACUGCUUUCCAGGGAGGCCCACAUCUGUCACUCCAGAAGCACCCAAGUUUACUCUGCCACGUGAGGACGCUCAUCCCUCGGUCACAUGAACCUAGACCUUGCUUCCUUUGGAAGCUGCAGUCGGGUGUCCUGAGGCAAGGUGGCCCCACUUCCAGCUGCUGUGCCUGGCACAGCCUCUGAGGCAGAUGGGCUGCGCCCAGCUUGGGUGCAGUCGGUCCUCGGUUCCCUGCACCUGUCGUGGCCUAGACUCCAAAACAUAAAAAAUUAGGCGUGGUGGCACACUCCUGUCAUCCCAGCUAUUUUGGGAGGUAGAGGCAGGAGGCUCAGGAGUUGGGGGCUGCAGUGAGCUGUGAUUGCUCCACUGCCCUCUAGUUUGUGCGACAGAGUGAGACUUUGCCUCAAAGAAACAAAUGAAAAAGAGCUGGGAGCUCACAGCCCUGCCUUAAGAGCUCACCGCAUCCUUGGGAGGCAAAACCGUGAGACGUGGCACUGCCAGGAGCUUUCUGGACGACCCAAAGCACUGCGCGGAGGGCAGGUCGUGCUGGUUGGCGCCACUGCAGCAGACACCUUGGGGAGAAGGCCGCGAAAUGAAGAACGGGCCAAGAUAAGCCUGAGGGGAAUGGUCUCAGACCCAGCGAUCAGCUUUCACCAUGGGCGUCGGGGGCCUGGCGGGCGCAUGCAUGCUGAGGGGGCUGUCGGCGGGUGGGCUCACUGAGCGGAGAAGGAUGAAGUGGCGAUACCGCCAGCACGAGGCUUCUGCUGCACAGACUCAGGCGCUCCCUCCCCUGGUGGCAGUGAGCUGGGGCCUGCUCAGCACCCCCGGCCCCAGGAUGUGCCUGCUGGUGCCUGAGAGAGCAGCAGCCAGGAUGAUUUGAGACAACAUUUAGAUAAAUCUUUGGAAGAGAACAGUAGGUUAAAAUCGCUUUUGUUGAGUAUGAAAAAGGAAGUGAAGAGUGCAGACACUGCAGCCACGUUAAAUUUGCAGAUCGCUGGACUUCAAACAAGUGUGAAGAGGCUGUGUGGCGAGAUUGUGGAACUGAAACAGCACCUGGAGCACUACGACAAGAUCCAGGAGCUCACGCAGAUGCUGCAGGAGAGCCACAGCUCCCUGGUCAGCACCAAUGAACACCUGCUGCAGGAGCUGAGCCAGGUGCGGGCGCAGCACAGAGCCGAGGUGGAGCAGAUGCACUGGAGCUACCAGGAGCUCAAGAAGACCAUGGCCCUGUUUCCACACAGCAGCGCCAGCCAUGGAGGCCGCCAGGCCUGCUGACUCCUGCCGAGAAGCUGGGCCACCCCUUAAGCUUCCUGGUUUACUAGAAAUUCCCAACUGUUCCAAAGUGGUGGUACCCGCAGGCCCGACUGCUAGUUGUGUAUGACCACGGCUGCCGGUCCAUGUUUUCAGCACCCAUUGCCUGAAGUGUUAGCACCUUCACUCCGGUGGGUGUGGGGUAGUGGAGGGAGUGGGGUGGUGGAGGGCGUGGGGUGGCGGAGGGCGCGGGGUGGCGCGGGGUGGGGUAGACCUCUUUCUGGUUUCAUUGGCUUCUCCUUGUUCAGCACCUUCUCAUGUGUCUGCGGCUCAUCGGGAUUUCCUGUUUGUAAAGUACCUAUUCAAGUAUUUUCCCUACUUUUCUAUUGGAUGGUCUGUCUCAUUUAUUUGCAGGUGUUAUUUAUGAUUCUGGGUAGUAGUGCUUUGUGAAUUACAUUUGCAAAUAGCUUUUCUUGUCUUUUUACUUUAAUGGUGUCUUUUAAGAGAAAUUUUAAACUUUAAUAUGGCCCAAUGUAUCAAUAUUUUCUUUCAUGAUUAAAGCAUUUUGGAUCCUAAUUUUUAAUAAUCUUUACUUUGCCUUGAACAUAAAGAUACUCUGUUACCUUCCAAAGGAUUUUAUAGUUUUGUAUAUUUUGGAUUUUAGAUAUAGAUUCUACCCAGAAUUGAUUUUUGCGCCUGUUGUGAAGCUUAAGGAUCCAGUUUCAUUGUGUUGCAGACAUAAGCCCAGUUUUCCCAGUCCCGGCUGCUGAAGAUUCCUUUGUCAGGAUGAUCUCUGUGUCCGUUUCUGCAUCUCCUUGUCUGUCUCUGCCAAUACCACACACUCUGGGGCGCGUACCUCCAUCUUAUGUUAGGAUGUCUUGGCUGUUUUUGACCCUUUGUGUUUCAUACAUUUUAGAACUAGCCGGUUGAGUUGGGAUUUUGUUUGGGAUUGUAUUGAACCUGUAGAUCAACUUGGGAAUCUUUGACAUACUUGCAAUACUGGGUUUUACAAGCCCUGAACAUGGUAUCUGUCUCUCCAAAUGUUAGGGCUCCUUCAGCGGGUGUUAAUACAGCCUGAUACUUUUCACAAUGGUCUUGUAUGUCUUUUGUUACAUUUAAUCCUAGGUCCUUGUUAUUUUGCGAUGCUGUUUUAAAAAAUGUGCUUGGAUUUCAUUUUCCUAAUUAUGUGUUGCCAUUUCAUGGAAAUUCAUUUUUGUGUAUUAAUUUGUAUCUGGCAGUCUAGUAAUUUUAAUCAUUUGCCUGUAGCUGUUUCCUCAUUUUUAGGCACACAGUCAUGUUUUCUAUGAGUAAUGGGUUUUCUUUCCCAUUCCUGUUGUUCUGGAUUUUUACUUUAUGUUUUUAUUUUUGUUUUGUUUUUUGCUUUUCUACACUGGUCGGAACCCCUAGUGCAGUGCUGAUUAGAGGUGGUAAAAGAGUGGGCAUCGUUGUCUUCUUCCUGAUAUUCAAAGGGGUGAUAAAUUCUCACCAUUUAUCCACUCACUUGUAAUAGAUUUUUUUUGUUUGUUUUAAAGCUUUUUCUAUCAAUAAUUCGCCUCAAGAAUGGAUGACUUUUAUCACUUUUUCUGCAGUGAUUGAGAUGACCACGAUUUUUAUCAUUUAAUAUAUUGAUGUGUUUAACGACCAUAAUUUGCUUUUGUUAAAAAUAAACCUUGAAUUUCUGAGAUAAGUCCAA